rnacentral:rRNA from 1 species
UGGACUUCGGUUCAUGAGUUAGCGGCGGACGGGUUAGUAACGCGUGGGAACGUACCCUUUGCUACGGAACAACAGUUGGAAACGACUGCUAAUACCGUAUGUGCCCUACGGGGGAAAGAUUUAUCGGCAAAGGAUCGGCCCGCGUUGGAUUAGAUAGUUGGUGAGGUAACGGCUCACCAAGUCUGCGAUCCAUAGCUGGUUUGAGAGAAUGAUCAGCAACACUGGGACUGAGACACGGCCCAG